rnacentral:ncRNA from 1 species
AUAAAUGCUAUGAAGAGGAAUAGUAGUCACUUGGAGAAUUACAGAGAACUGUUGGCUGGUGCGAAACAGGAUUCAAAAUGUGAUGAACUCGCCUAUGAGCUGUCCGCUGAAAAUAAGUAGGUGGGAACGGAUGCCAAUCGUUAAAGUGGCGGGAUAUCGGUGAUAUUAAAAUAAUAUCUACCCGUAUCUUUUAAGUGAUUUUUUGCUUUAUAGCAAAAAGAGUGGUACAGCGGAAUUUAACCUUCCGUCUCUUAG